rnacentral:rRNA from 1 species
CCUACGGGUGGCAGCAGUGGGGAAUAUUGGACAAUGGGCGCAAGCCUGACGCAGCAAUGCCGCGUGAAGGAAGAAGGCUUUCGGGUUGUAAACUUCUUUGAGAGGGGAAGAGCAGAAGACGGUACCCUGAAAACAAGCCACGGCUAACUACGUGCCAGCAGCCGCGGUAAUACGGAGGUGGCAGGCGCUGUCCGGAUUUACUGGGUGUCAAGGGCGUGUAUCCGGGAAGGGAAGUCAGAUGUGAAAUCCGGAGGCUCAACCUCCGAAUUGCAUUUGAAACUGGUUUUCUUGAGUACUGGAGAGGCAGACGGAAUUCCUUGUGUAGCGGUGAAAUGCGUAGAGAUCAGGAGGAACACCAGUGGCGAAGGCGGUCUGCUGGACAGCAACUGACGGUGAGGCGCGAAAGCGUGGGGAGCAAACAGGAUUAGAUACCCCUGUAGUC